GAUUAGAGUUUGAUCCUGGCUCAGAUUGAACGCUGGCGGCAUGCCUUACACAUGCAAGUCGAACGGCAGCAUGGAGGAGCUUGCUCCUCUGAUGGCGAGUGGCGAACGGGUGAGUAAAGCAUCGGAACGUACCGUGUAGUGGGGGAUAACGUAGCGAAAGUUACGCUAAUACCGCAUACGCACUGAGGUGGAAAGCAGGGGAUCGCAAGACCUUGCGCUAUACGAGCGGCCGAUGUCAGAUUAGCUAGUUGGUAGGGUAAAGGCCUACCAAGGCGACGAUCUGUAGCGGGUCUGAGAGGAUGAUCCGCCACACUGGGACUGAGACACGGCCCAGACUCCUACGGGAGGCAGCAGUGGGGAAUUUUGGACAAUGGGGGAAACCCUGAUCCAGCCGUGCCGCGUGAGUGAAGAAGGCCUUCGGGUUGUAAAGCUCUUUCGGCUGGGAAGAAAUCGCACAGGCUAAUACUCUGUGUGGAUGACGGUACCAGCAAAGAG
rnacentral:rRNA from 1 species